CAGUGAAAGAACAAUCUUUGAAUGAAUGGCAACCAUUCACAUCUCUCCAAACUAAUCUUCAUUCAGAUUUCUUAUGGUAAAUCUGUUAUAUAAGGUACUCAGGAUGCCCCCUGUUGCAUGGUGGAUGGUUGCUCUUCAAACUGUUGUGUCAUUAGGAAUGUCAAUGCAGAGGGCAGAUAUGCUGAAAUCAGGAAAGAUAUCUAAGAAGGCAUUUGAGAGAUCCUUUGUUUAUGAUAAGGAGAAGUUGUACAGUAUCUGCUUCAGCAAAUGGUACUAA
rnacentral:lncRNA from 1 species